rnacentral:piRNA from 1 species
UCAGCCAUUAGUUCAUGCCAGAAGU